UUUAACGAAUAUUAAAAAGUUUUAGGAUAUAUCGACUACUUUUUUGGAAAUUAUUCUUCGACAGCUAAACUUAAUAACGUCUGCUAGUUGGUUGGCUAGUUUUACUUUUGUUAUUUGAAAUUGAUAUUCUAAGAUCAAGCAAGCGUUUAAUCCACAAGUCAACAAAUAAAUCAUCAUGAUAAUAGAGAAUGCUUCAGAGCAACAAGAUGAAUAUGAAGUGCAAGAACCUACUCCUGUUGAAGUUAGACCACUUUCUCCAUCCAAAUCUCCUCAAUGUAUAGUUUUUCCUUAUAUUGGACCUCCUGGCGCUGGUCCUGGUUUACUUGGUAGUAGACCAGGAGUUGGUAAUAUUGAAUAUCUUGUUGCAUUAGAACAACAUGCCACUAGUCUAAAGAGUGCCUUAGCCAUAGCAGCAUCUCUACAAAAUACAAAGAACAAAAAUGUAGACGUCGAAAUAAUAUACGACUCCAUUUAUAACAGUCAUGGUCAACUGAACAAUAAUUAUGACAUGUCUUCCAACCAGUAACAUGUUUUUAAAUUUCUUUUAAUUUAUUCAUCACCUCACUUCAAAUGACAAUCCAUUUUUAGUCAUUUAUCGUUUUAAACUUUCUUUCAUAUAUCUGUUUAAAAUUUGUAAAAAUUUAUCUUUUUGUUAGUCAUUUUGCUUCAUUUGUUAAAAUAAGCACACAAAAAAUACUUUUAAAAAGCAUUUUACUUAUUUUGCAUUUUACAAUUAAGUUAAGUCUUAUUUCAAUGCUUUUUAUUAUGUUAAUUAUAGAAUAUAAUGAUUCAUCGUGGGCUUAAAUUUUUCAAUUUUAAUAAUUUUUAAGAAAGCGAAUUUCUUAUGGAACAUUAGUAGGCUAUCUUCUUAUUUGAAGCUAAUUUUUUUGACUAUUUUAUUCCUGUACAAAAUAGAAAAAAAAAUUGCUCACUAUGUUUGAACUCUUACUCUUAAGUUGUAUUGUAAAAGUAAACUUAGUGGAUUUAAUGUGAUAAAAAAAAACCCAAUUCUACUGAUUGUAACUUUAAUUCUAUUAUCACUCUCGAAUCUACUAUGAUUUUAUAUGUAUAAAAAAAAAAGUUUAUUUUAUUCUUAUUCAUUUUCGUUUAACUAAACUUAACAAUACACUAAGGUUAAUUUUAUUUUGUUUAUUUCUAGGUCAGGACUGUAAUAAAUUUAAACUUUUUUGAAGUUCUACUUUUUAAAAAUUAGACUUUUUCUUUCUCACUAUUGGAAUAGUUGAUAUCAUUAAACUACUUACGUUAAUAUAAGAACAUAAUUGCAAUUAAAAAAUAUAAGAAACAAUAAUUAAUUGGAAUCAGUUUUGGUACUAUUAUAAGUUAUUUCAAUUUACUUUCAAAGAAGUCUGAAAUUAUUAAAACCGUUAUGUAAUGUAAGUAGGAAUAGUUUACGUGGAUUAAUUAUCUAACUUUCCAAAUUUUUUAGAAAAAUAUAUAUAAAAGACCAUUUUAAUUCAAGGAAAAAACUUUCUCUUGGUUUUGAUUGAAAAAAUUUAGAUAUAACUGAAAAUAUAUUGAAGUAUGAAUAUGAGUUUGAGAGUAUAAUGUAAAUUGUGACAGAUAAGCUUGCUAUGAUAGGCAGAAUAUUUAUAAUUAAAGAUGUGGGUGUAUUUUUCAGAUUUAUGUUUGAAAACUAAAUUAUUGACCAAAUUUGGUAUUUAUAGGGAAUUUAAUAUUUAUUAAACACAAAGUUCGUAAUCAAAAAAUAUUUUUUUCAGGAUAACUAUUUAUACCUCAAUAAAACAUGAAAAAAAACUGGCCAUCAUAUUAGAAAAACAAAAAUUACUAAAUUGUUAGAUUACUAAAUGUUUGUUUUGUUUUCCGACUAAUAUACUCUUAUAAUGAAAUUGAAUAUCAUAACAUAAUUUAUUUGCGAAUUACAGCUAAAUACAAUUUUUAAUUUGAAAAAACAAAUGUUUGCAGUUAUCUAUAAAAGUAAUGAAAAAAUUCUCUGUGAUUUAUAAGAGUAUUAUCCAAAUUUGGUUUAUGGUUUGUUUAUGAAGGUCAAAAUACCCCUCUUAAUUAAAAAAUAGCUAUAGUUUUAAUUUAUUUUAAAUAUACUGUCGGUCAGAAAGUUUUAAUUGUCCAAUUUAGCAAUGCAAUAAAUAGUUGGUGCUAAUGAGAAGAAUUAUUGUGAUAUGUUUUUGAGGAUUAUAUUGCAUAAAUUCCUAAAUGGUAUAAUACAGAAUGAUUUCUAUUUACCUAAUCGUUAAUUUUUAAAUAUAACUACAAAUACUAUGCAAACUACAUAUUAUUAUUAAAAAGAUUAACUGUUGAUUUAUUUAUAAAUAAUUUUAAAGUAUAUUUAUUUAUAAAUAAUUAUUUGAAUUGCUUGUAAUGUUGAUUAAUUGAAGGCCUUAUUUGAAUUGUACUUCGCUUUAAAAAAUAAUGAAGGUAGCCUGACAUUUGUGUUCAUAAAAGUCAUUUCUAUAUUCGAAAACUAGUCUAGUUCAAUCUUAUUUCUGCUGCGAAACGCAGAGUACCAAAAAGGAAACAAGAUAAAAUUGAUACACUCAUUAGACUUUAAGGCUCUCUAUUGCAAAAUGAAGAAAAGAAGAGUUAUCCCACUAUUCAAGUAAGGCAUUCAGCUGUAUCACUAAUUAUGUGUGAUCAAUCAACAAAUUGCCUUCCAACAAAUUAUUACUAAAUACUAUGAUUAACUAUAAUAAUUUGCUCAAAACAUUUACAAAUAUAUUAAGUGUGAAGUGUUUGUGUGUUAUUGCAACGAAAUAUUUUUCUUUUUAAAGAAAUGAUUAUACUGCUAUUUUAUAAUUAUAUACUAUGAUUACCUUUUUGCUCAAUGCUUAUCUUUAUAUUUGCUCAAACUUUUUUCUUGGAUAUUUUUAUAUUUUAUUAGUACUCUGAAUAUAUUGGGUUACAAAACUUUCAGCUGAAUACUUUUGUUCUUGUUGAUAAGAUAUUUAUUUUGCUUAUAAAUUUUAAACUACCUUGAUAAAAAGUCAUCAGAAAAUUAAAAAAAUUGUAAUACAAAAAACUGAGAUGAAAACUUAAUUUUUUUUUUUUUGUAUUUAUAACUUAAAUGUUGUUCUCCAGUUAUUUUAAGUUAUUUAUUUUCCAGUUAUAUAGUAUAUUUAAAAAUGACGUUAGAAUAAAUAGCAGCAUACGUAUGUUAGUUUUUAUUUUACUAUAUUGAUGCUGAAAACUAUGCAAUACAUUGUUAUCUCUGUCGCAAUAUAUGUCUGUUGUGUACAGCAAUAUAUGCAAAAAUUACUUUGAAGAAAAAGGUUAAUAUUUUUUAAAAAUUCUUUUUUACUAAUUUAUAUGUGAAUGAUACAAAAAGUAUAAAUGUAAUACAAUCGUUGCAUUUCUAUUUAUUAAUAUUACUUGCAUUUAAAAUUUAAAUUAUUGUUUUAUGUAUAAAAAUAUUUUUAAACAUCAAAACAGAGUGAAUGUGUCAGUUUAAAGAGCUAUUCUUAAUUUACAUAUAAAUUACAGGAUUAGUGGCAGCUUUAAAGGUAAAUUUCAAACAGUAUUUUUAUAAAUUAACUGAUUAUCUAAA